rnacentral:rRNA from 1 species
AUUGAACGCUGGCGGCAGGCCUAACACAUGCAAGUCGAGCGGAUGAAGGGAGCUUGCUCCUGGAUUCAGCGGCGGACGGGUGAGUAAUGCCUAGGAAUCUGCCUGGUAGUGGGGGAUAACGUCCGGAAACGGGCGCUAAUACCGCAUACGUCCUGAGGGAGAAAGUGGGGGAUCUUCGGACCUCACGCCAUCAGAUGAGCCUAGGUCGGAUUAGCUAGUUGGUGGGGUAAAGGCCUACCAAGGCGACGAUCCGUAACUGGUCUGAGAGGAUGAUCAGUCACACUGGAACUGAGACACGGUCCAGACUCCUACGGGAGGCACAAGUGGGGAAUAUUGGACAAUGGGCGAAAGCCUGAUCCAGCCAUGCCGCGUGUGUGAAGAAGGUCUUCGGAUUGUAAAGCACUUUAAGUUGGGAGGAAGGGCAGUAAGUUAAUACCUUGCUGUUUUGACGUUACCAACAGAAUAAGCACCGGCUAACUUCGUG